rnacentral:rRNA from 1 species
CCUACGGGAGGCUGCAGUGAGGAAUAUUGGUCAAUGGACGCAAGUCUGAACCAGCCAUGCCGCGUGCAGGAAGACGGCCCUAUGAGUUGUAAACUGCUUUUGUACGAGGGUAAACGAAGAUACUAGUAUCUGUCUGAAAGUAUCGUACGCAUAAGGAUCGGCUAACUCCGUGCCAGCAGCCGCGGUAAUACGGAGGAUUCAAGCGUUAUCCGGAUUUAUUGGGUUUAAAGGGUGCGUAGGCGGUCGGAUAAGUUAGAGGUGAAAUCCCGAGGCUCAACUUCGGAAUUGCCUCUGAUACUGUUCGGCUAGAGAGUAGUUGCGGUAGGCAGAAUGUAUGGUGUAGCGGUGAAAUGCUUAGAGAUCAGACAGAACACCGAUGGCGAAGGCAGCUUACCAAGCUACUUCUGACGUUGAGGCACGAAAGCGUGGGGGGCAAACAGGAUUAGAUACCCGAGUAGUC